rnacentral:rRNA from 1 species
CACGUAGGGGCCAAGCGUUGUCCGGAUUUAUUGGGCGUAAAGAGCUCGUAGGCGGUUCGGUAAGUCGGGUGUGAAACCUCCAGGCUCAACCUGGAGACGCCACCCGAUACUGCUGUGACUGGAGUCCGGUAGGGGAGCGUGGAAUUCCUGGUGUAGCGGUGAAAUGCGCAGAUAUCAGGAGGAACACCAGCGGCGAAGGCGGCGCUCUGGGCCGGUACUGACGCUGAGGUGCGAAAGCGUGGGGAGCAAACAGG